ACGGAGGGGGCAAGCGUUGUUCGGAAUUACUGGGCGUAAAGAGCACGUAGGCGGUUUAACAAGUUAGGCGUGAAAGCCCUAGGCUCAACCUAGGAAUUGCGUUUAAUACUGUUAGACUAGAGAUCGGGAGAGGGUAGCGGAAUUCCAAGUGUAGAGGUGAAAUUCGUAGAUAUUUGGAAGAACACCGGUGGCGAAGGCGGCUACCUGGACCGAUACUGACGCUGAGGUGCGAAAGCGUGGGGAGCGAACAGG
rnacentral:rRNA from 1 species